CCAUAGACAUGGAAAAAGGAAACUGUGCGUAAAAGAAUGGCUAUAUGCGAGUGCAAGAUCAACCUAGCUGUGAUGGCCUGCUAAAUCUGGUUGUCACUGCAAUUGGUGUGUCCACAGUGGCUAUUUAGGCACCCAGGCGGCUUCACGUCUGGAACAUUGGACUUCUGAACUUCUGAAUUUCUUCACUUCUACAUUUUUGAUCUUUUUACAUACUUACAUUCUUUACUAGUCACCCCUUUUAGCAGUCGUUCCUUUUUCCUGUCAGUAUAGCAUCUUUCCGCAACACUGAAGGUAGUAAGAAAA
rnacentral:sRNA from 1 species